AGUGAACGCUGGCGGUAGGCCUAACACAUGCGAGUCGAACGGCAGCACAGUAAGAGCUUGCUCUUACGGGUGGCGAGUGGCGGACGGGUGAGGAAUACAUCGGAAUCUACUUUUUCGUGGGGGAUAACGUAGGGAAACUUACGCUAAUACCGCAUACGACCUACGGGUGAAAGCAGGGGAUCUUCGGACCUUGCGCGAUUGAAUGAGCCGAUGUCGGAUUAGCUAGUUGGCGGGGUAAAGGCCCACCAAGGCGACGAUCCGUAGCUGGUCUGAGAGGAUGAUCAGCCACACUGGAACUGAGACACGGUCCAGACUCCUACGGGAGGCAGCAGUGGAGAAUAUUGGACAAUGGGCGCAAGCCUGAUCCAGCCAUACCGCGUGGGUGAAGAAGGCCUUCGGGUUGUAAAGCCCUUUUGUUGGGAAAGAAAAGCAGCAGGUUAAUACCCCGCUGUUCUGACGGUACCCAAAGAAUAAGCACCGGCUAACUUCGUG
rnacentral:rRNA from 1 species